GAUGAACGCUGGCGGUAUGCUUAACACAUGCAAGUCGAACGGACUCUUCGGAGUUAGUGGCGGACGGGUGAGUAACGCGUGAGAAUCUGGCUUUGGGUUCGGGACAACCACUGGAAACGGUGGCUAAUACCGGAUGUGCUGAGAGGUAAAAGAGAAAUUGCCUGAAGAUGAGCUCGCGUCUGAUUAGCUAGUUGGUGAGGUAAAGGCUCACCAAGGCAGCGAUCAGUAGCUGGUCUGAGAGGAUGACCAGCCACACUGGGACUGAGACACGGCCCAGACUCCUACGGGGGGCAGCUGGGGUGUAUUUUCCACAGUGGGCAACCGUCUGGCGGAGCACUCCCGCGUGUGUGAAGAAGCCUCUUGGGUUGUAAACCUCUUUUCUUAGGGGAGAACAAAAUGACGGUACCUGAGGAAUCAGCAUCGGCUAACUCCGUG
rnacentral:rRNA from 1 species